rnacentral:rRNA from 1 species
AUUGAACGCUGGCGGCAGGCUUAACACAUGCAAGUCGAGCGGUAGCACAGGGGAGCUUGCUCCCUGGGUGACGAGCGGCGGACGGGUGAGUAAUGUCUGGGAAACUGCCUGAUGGAGGGGGAUAACUACUGGAAACGGUAGCUAAUACCGCAUAACGUCGCAAGACCAAAGAGGGGGACCUUCGGGCCUCUUGCCAUCAGAUGUGCCCAGAUGGGAUUAGCUAGUAGGUGGGGUAAUGGCUCACCUAGGCGACGAUCCCUAGCUGGUCUGAGAGGAUGACCAGCCACACUGGAACUGAGACACGGUCCAGACUCCUACGGGAGGCAGCAGUGGGGAAUAUUGCACAAUGGGCGCAAGCCUGAUGCAGCCAUGCCGCGUGUGUGAAGAAGGCCUUCGGGUUGUAAAGCACUUUCAGCGAGGAGGAAGGUGGUGGGCUUAAUACGUUCAUCAAUUGACGUUACUCGCAGAAGAAGCACCGGCUAACUCCGUG